CUUUCUCCUGCAGAGAGGCUGAGUUGGAGCAGGAGGAUGGUGCAGGACUAGACAAGGAGCCAGUGAUGGUAUAUUUUGGAAAUGGAGAUCUCUGCACAAGCCAGGUCUCUUGGCACACGUUAUCCCGCUCCUUUCCCAUGCUACUUCGCUGGAAUCACUGCAGGCAGAGGAAUGCUGCCAAGGGCUACCUGUUAGGGUCUCUCUGGAGCAUGAAGGUGACAGCUUCAGAGAGCAAUUCUAUACACUGCUGGGAUGCUCUGAGUCUAUAAGCUUUGAUCCCAUCCAAUUAAGCCCAAGGAUUCAGGAAGUUACCACUUUGCAGAGGAGGAAAUUCAGUGAUCUCCUGCCACCUGGCUGAUUGCUUACCACUGCACAAGGCUGUCAUCAUCAAACAAGCUGCUGAACACUUACUUCCCAAAAG
rnacentral:lncRNA from 1 species